rnacentral:rRNA from 1 species
GCGGCCUAUCAGCUUGUUGGUGAGGUAAAGGCUCACCAAGGCGACGACGGGUAGCCGGCCUGAGAGGGCGACCGGCCACACUGGGACUGAGACACGGCCCAGACUCCUACGGGAGGCAGCAGUGGGGAAUAUUGGGCAAUGGACGCAAGUCUGACCCAGCGACGCCGCGUGCGGGAUGAAGGCCUUCGGGUUGUAAACCGCUUUCAGCAGGGAAGAAGCGAAAGUGACGGUACCUGCAAAAGAAGCACCGGCUAACUAUGUGCCAGCAGCCGCGGUAAUACAUAGGGUGCAAGCGUUGUCCGGAAUUAUUGGGCGUAAAGAGCUCGUAGGUCGUUUGUCGCGUCGAUUGUGAAAAUCUGAGGCUCAACCUCAGACCUGCAGUCGAUACGGGCAAACUAGAGUGUGGUAGGGGAGACUGGAAUUCCU